AUAGAUGCGCGAUGGACUUAAAAUCCGCCGCUUCCGAACAGGGGCGUGCCGGUUCGAUCCCGGCUCGGGGCACCA
rnacentral:tRNA from 1 species